rnacentral:rRNA from 1 species
AACGAACGUUGGCGGCGUGGAUUAGGCAUGCAAGUCGAACGAAUCCCAGCUUUGUAGCAAUACCGAGCUGGGGGAAGUGGCGAAAGGGGCAGUAAUGCGUGGGUAACCUACCCUCGGGGACCGGGAUAGCCUCUCUAACGAGUGGGUAAGUACCGGGCGAUGCAACGAGAUCGCAUGACCUUGUUGUGAAACGAAUUUCGCCUCGGGAGGGGCUCACGUGGUAUUAGCUAGUUGGUGAGGUAACGGCNCACCAAGGCUAAGAUGCCUAGCAGGUGUGAGAGCACGACCUGCGCCACUGGCACUGAGACACUGGCCAGACUCCUACGGGAGGCUGCAGUCGAGGAUCUUCGGCAAUGGGCGCAAGCCUGACCGAGCGACGUCGCGUGCGCGACGAAGGCC